rnacentral:rRNA from 1 species
ACGGGUGAGUAAUGUCUGGGAAACUGCCCGAUGGAGGGGGGUAGCUACUGGAAACGGUAGCUAAUACCGCAUAACGUCGCAAGACCAAAGAGGGGGACCUUAGGGCCUCUUGCCAUCGGAUGUGCCCAGAUGGGAUUAGCUAGUAGGUGGGGUAACGGCUCACCUAGGCGACGAUCCCUAGCUGGUCUGAGAGGAUGACCAGCCACACUGGAACUGAGACACGGUCCAG